rnacentral:rRNA from 1 species
UGAGUUUGAUCCUGGCUCCGGAUGAACGCUAGCAAUAUACAUAACACAUGUUAGUCGUAUGCUGUUAAAAGCAUGGCGCACGGGUGAGUAAUACAUAAGAAUCUGCUUUAAAGAUUGAGAUAAUUGAUGUAAAAUAUUUUAUGUUUUAUGUUAAAAAUAUCAUAUUCUAAAGGUAAACAUAUACCGCUUUAAAAUGAGCUUAUGCAGGAUUAGGUUGUUGGUGAGGUAAAGGCUCACCAAGCCGAAGAUCCUUAGUUGGUCUGAGAGGACGAUCAGCCACACUGGAACUGAGAUAAGGUCCAGGCUUUUUAGCCAGCAGUGUGGAAUCUUGGACAAUGAACGAAAGUUUGAUCCAGUAAUAUUGCGUGAAUGAGGAAAGCAAAAAAGAUUUACUGUGAAUUACUGUGAAUUGGCUGUAAAGUUAUUUCGAUGGUGAAGAUUAUGACAGAACCGGGAAAGAAGCUCCGGCUAAUUUCGUGCCAGCAGCCGCGGUAAUACGAAAGGGGCAAGCGUUAUCCAAAUUGAUUGGGCGUAAAGGGUUUGUAGGCGGUGUUUUAUCGCAAUAUGUAAAAAAGUGAGAAAUUCUCUCAUUCUAGCAUAUUGUACAUGAACACUUGAGUAUAAUUGAGGAUAACAGAAUUCUAUAGGGAAGAGUAUAAUCUAUUAAUCUAUGGAGGAAUGCCAGAGGCGAAAGCGGUUAUCUGGGUUAAUACUGACGUUGAGAAACGAAAGCGUAGGGAGCAAACAGGAUUAGAUACCCUGGUAGUCUACGCUGUCAAAGAUGAAUGUUAAUAUCGGGUAAUUCUGAUAUACAGCAAACGCGUUAAACAUUCCGCCUGGGGAGUACGGUCGCAAGACUGGAACUCAAAGGAAUUGACGGGGGUCUACACAAGUGGUGGAGCAUGUGGUUUAAUGCGAUAAUACGCGCGAAAUCUUACCAGUUCUUGAAUAUAACAAAACCAAUAGUGUAAUGCUUUUGUUGAUUUAAAAGACAAAGUUCUUUUUAUCGUUGUUAUACAGGUGUUGCAUGGCUGUCGUCAGCCCGUGCCGUGAGGUGUUUGGGUAAUUCCAUUUACGGGCAAAACUCUUUUACUAUUUUGGUACAUUUUAAUAUUUUAUUAAUAAUACAACUAUUAGUAUAUGUCUAACUUUUGGGUUGGAGGAAGCUGAGAAUCACGUCAAGCCCUUAUGGCCCUUAUGGACUGGGCCACACACGUGCUACAAUGAUUAAUACAAAAAGUUAUACAAUAAAGCAAUUUGGAGUAAAUCUUUAAAAUUUGUCGUUUGUUCAGAUUAUAGACUGCAAUUCGUCUAUAUGAAGCAGGAAUCACAAGUAAUCGUAAAUCAGCACGUUACGGUGAAAUUGUACCUAGACUUUGCACACACCGCCCGUCACAUGCCGGAAUUGAGUUUUGUUUGAAAUUAAAGUUUUUACUCUAAGUAUAGAAACGUAUCUUUAAAAGUACUUUUU